ensembl:lncRNA
UCUCACUUAAGAGGAAAGACUGUUCCAUCUGAAGAGGAAAUGUCUGAGAGGUGAUCUCAUAUCUUCAUGAAUAUCUAGGGUGUAAGAGUCAAGCUUAUGGGUUGAACUCUUUUCUGUGGUAUGCAGCGACAGAACAAGGGGCAGUGGUAAGAAACUGGAACCCAGGAAGUUCCACAUUAUCACAAGAAGAACUUCUUUACUGUGAGAUAGACAGUGCUUUGGAGUAGGCUGCCCAGAGAGGUUGUGGAGUGUCCUUCUCUGGAGAUAUUCAAGACUGAUCUGUACGUCUACCUAUGCAAUCUGCUGUAGGAAACAUGCUUUAGCAGAGAACAUGAAAAAAAAGACCCAAGUUGAAGAUUACUAACAAGGCUCACGAAGACAGUAGCAGAGGAACACUGAUAAAAUGGUGCCUGACAUGAAGCAGAAGUAUGCAAUUAUUUCCUCCACGUGGAAAAAAAGCUGCAUCCACAUACAGUGAUGCUUGCUGAACGCAUAUGAAGACCGAACAGUGGAUGUGAGCACUGUGAGGCGGUGGGUGGUGCAUUUCAGCAACGGUGACAAUGAUGUGAAAGACAAGCCAUAUUCUGGACAUCCUUGCACAGCUGUCACACUAUGAAAUGGAGAGCAUCUUGAUCAGCUCAUCUGGG